UGGCUCGCGGCUGCAGAGCUGAGCUCGGAGCGUAGGGACGGACCCUUUGCCGUGUCAUCCCAAGCGGAGGGGACAUUAAUCGGUACCUACCUAAAUUCGUCGCUUCAUUCUUUAGAAGACUUAGCCGAGUUGAGAUUUUCGAAAUAAUCUUCAGCUUUGAUGUAAUCUGUAAAAUAACAAAAUCGUUGAAAAGUUGGACAGCAGCGUUCUCUGACUUUUAUACCAGCAUACUCCACCUGCAGACGGGGUAGAUACUUUGAGCUCACGCGGUAUCUGACUAUUUUUGUCCGAUGCCAAUUAUACCUUCCUAUUUGAAAGUGCCAUAUUAAUGGGUGACUCGAUGGCCACAUAGCUGGCUCCCCUCACUACCGGGCCAAGGAUCAUGCCUGGUAUACCCUGCGAUUUGAAGUCAAAUGACCUUGCGCGAUUGAUUCCUGUUUAUUUAUCGUUCACAUUUAGUAGAAAUAUUAUUUUCCCACACUUCUGCAGAUAUGGUCUUAGGCUCUUAAUUUCAAUUCCCAAAUUUAUGGAAAAUUAUUUUUUCAAAUACAAUAAUAAUAAAAUACAAAAUUCUGUCAGUAAUUUUAACACGUCGUAUUAAAAUUUUGUUCUUCAUCAAACCUAUUUCCCGAAUAAGUUUUCUUCAAUUCAGCGAUCCACGUUCGGAGGCGCAAAUCUAAUUACCGGCCCUUACAGAUUGCAUCACUAAUCAUGUUAGGGCUGUACGAAUCUAUAUAAAAAUAAAAAAUAAAAUAGAUGUGUGGUGUCGUGGGACACCGGAUAGGAACGAAGUUCCUUAUUAUAAAAAUAUUGAUUUUAAGUUCUAUUCGAGGUAUAAAGAAAAUAAUUAUUCGGGUAUACAUUUUUUAUUUACAUUUUUUUUUUGAUAAAAAUCAAAUAAAAACUACUUCACAAAGUUAUCAACUUUAUUUUAUUCAAAAUUUAUAAUAAAAAUAUGUUAUUUUUUGUACGUUAUUACAAAGUUAAGUCGUACACUGUGUGCGUUACUAAUAAAAAUCUUACGUUACGGACGUUUUUUCCCGGUUAGGGUACCCCUCCGCAUCGUCCCAUAGGGAACUUCGUUACAAAAACCAUCAUGCAUUUUAUAACAUAUGGCCUCAAAAACUGUAUAUUUUAAUAAUACCACUAAAACGAACUAAGCGCGAUGACGACGAAAUCUAAGCUACAUUUAUAUUUUCUCUCACUGUUUCUAUUAUUGUCUUAAAAAUUUUACACAUAAUCU